rnacentral:rRNA from 1 species
GACGAACGCUGGCGGCGUGCUUAACACAUGCAAGUCGAACGGAAAGGCGCUGCGUUUGUUGGGUUCUCGAUUGGCGAACGGGUGAGUAACACGUGAGUAACCCGCCCUUGACUGAGGGAUAACAUCAGGAAACUGGGGCGAUUACCGGGUAGGAUCUCUUGCAGCGUGGGGGUGGUAGGAAAAUUACGGCGUUUGGGGAUGGACUGGAUGCUUACGAGCUGGAUGGUGGGGUAGUGGAAGACCAAGGCUUUGAGGGGUAGCCGGCAUGAGAGCGUGAACGGCCACAUUGGUCCUACGAUACGGCCCAGACUCGUACCGGCGGCAGCAGUGGAGAAUAUUGCACAGUGGGCGGACGCGUGAUGCAGCAACGCCGGGUGCGGGAUGAUGGCCUUCGAGUUGUAAACCGAUUUCGAAUGUGACGAAGCGUGAGUGACGGUACCGGGUAAAGAAGCAACGGCUAACUACGUG